AUUGAACGCUGGCGGCAGGCCUACCACAUGCAAGUCGAGCGGAGCGGCGGACAGGUGAGUAAUAUAUGGGACUCCGCCGUGUAGUGGGGGGAAAAGUCCGGACACGGGCGCUAAUUACGCAUACUAACAGAUGAGCCUAGGACGGAUUGUCUAGUUGGUGGGGUAAAGGCCUACCAAGGCGACGGUCCGUAACUGGUCUGGGAGGAUGAUCAGUCACACUGGAACUGAGACACGGUCCAGACUCCUACGGGAGGCAGCAGUGGGGAAUAUUGGACAAUGGGCGAAAGCCUGAUCCAGCCAUGCCGCGUGUGUGAAGAAGGUCUUCGGAUUGUAAAGCACUUUAAGUUGGGAGGCGUUACCAGCAGAAUAAGCACCGGCUAACUUCGUGCCAGCAGCCGCGGUAAUAC
rnacentral:rRNA from 1 species